rnacentral:rRNA from 2 species
UAACGACUCUCGGCAACGGAUAUCUCGGCUCUCGCAUCGAUGAAGAACGUAGCGAAAUGCGAUACUUGGUGUGAAUUGCAGAAUCCCGUGAACCAUCGAGUCUUUGAACGCAAGUUGCGCCCGAAGCCGUCAGGCCGAGGGCACGCCUGCCUGGGCGUCACGC